UUGUGGAGCCGCCGGUGGGAUACCACUCUUGGAUUGCUGAAUUUCUAACCUGCGGCCGUGAAUCCGGUCGGGGGACACUGUUAGGCGGGCAGUUUGACUGGGGCGGUCGCCUCCUAAAGAGUAACGGAGGCGCUCAAAGGUUGGCUCAGCACGGACGGAAAUCGUGCAGUGAGUGUAAACGUAGAAGCCAGCCUAACUGCGAGACCGACGGGUCGAGCAGUAACGAAAGUUGGAGUUAGUGAUCCGGUGGUAUGUGAGUGGAAAUGCCAUCGCUCAACGGAUAAAAGCUACCCUGGGGAUAACAGGCUGAUCUCCCCCAAGCGUCCACAGCGACGGGGAGGUUUGGCACCUCGAUGUCGGCUCGUCACAUCCUGGGGCUGAAUUCGGUCCCAAGGGUUCGGCUGUUCGCCGAUUAAAGUGGCACGCGAGCUGGGUUCAGAACGUCGUGAGACAGUUCGGUCCCUAUCUGUUGCGGGCGGAAGAGAUUUGAAGGGAGCUGUCCUUAGUACGAGAGGACCGGGAUGGACGUACCUCUGGUGCACCAGUUGUCCUGCCAAGGGCAUAGCUGGGUAGCUAAGUACGGACGAGAUAAACGCUGAAAGCAUCUAAGCGUGAAACUCCCCCUAAGAUGAGAUCUCUCACCUCGAAAGAGGGUAAGGGCCCAGGAAGACUACCUGGUAGAUAGGCCGGAGGUGGAAGUGCAGUAAUGUAUGGAGCUGACCGGUACUAAUCGCCCGAGGGCUUGACCUA
rnacentral:rRNA from 1 species